rnacentral:rRNA from 1 species
UACGAAGGGUGCAAGCGUUACUCGGAAUUACUGGGCGUAAAGGGUGCGUAGGUGGUUCUUUAAGUCUGCUGUGAAAUCCCCGGGCUCAACCUGGGAAUGGCAGUGGAUACUGGAGAGCUAGAGUGCGGUAGAGGGUAGUGGAAUUCCCGGUGUAGCAGUGAAAUGCGUAGAGAUCGGGAGGAACACCAGUGGCGAAGGCGGCUACCUGGACCAGCACUGACACUGAAGCACGAAAGCGUGGGGAGCAAACAGGG